rnacentral:misc_RNA from 1 species
AUCGUUGCCCCAUUCCCGGUGCCUCGUCGCAGGCGCCGGGCGUGGCGAAUGCUGGCUUCCCGGGAGCACCGUCUCGCGGUUGGCUGAAAGUCGAGCCCGUGGUGGAGUGCACCGCGACGGAUGGUGGAUGAGGGAAACUCGAGACCAGUCGCGCGCGUGGCCUCCCCUAUUCGGCACUCUGUGACCC